rnacentral:rRNA from 1 species
UACGUAGGGUGCGAGCGUUGUCCGGAAUUAUUGGGCGUAAAGGGCUCGUAGGCGGUUUGUCACGUCGGGAGUGAAAACCCAGGGCUCAACCCUGGGCCUGCUUCCGAUACGGGCAGACCAGAGGUAUGCAGGGGAGAACGGAAUUCCUGGUGUAGCGGUGAAAUGCGCAGAUAUCAGGAGGAGCACCGGUGGCGAAGGCGGUUCUCUGGGCAUUACCUGACGCUGAGGAGCGAAAGUGUGGGGAGCGAACAGG